AUGAUUAUGUCAUUUAAAGAUGCAGUUUUCUCAUCUUUCAAAAUCUUUCUGUUUGAACCUAUCAAUUAUUGGUAAUAUUAUUUUUUUGGAAAACAUAAGGGCCUGGAAUGAAGUAUUUUUUAAUCAACAGCAUGUCCUAUAUUAGUUAUAAAUAAAGAUGGAUCCUUUAAUUGGCUGGUUUACGUCAUGCCGUCUAACAAAUUGAAAACUGUACCUUUAUGACUUAUUUUAGGGGACGAUCAUUUGAUAUUCUGGAAGGGGGAGGAGGACUUGUUUUUGAUCGGUUAUUUAUUUUAGUAAACUAAGAGGACAGAUUAUUCAUUUUCUG
rnacentral:lncRNA from 1 species